AGGGAGCUUGCCUUGGAUUCAGUUAGCUAUGAGUAAUGCCUAGGAAUCUGCCUGGUAGUGGGGGAUAACGUCCGGAAACGGCCGCUAAUACCGCAUACGUCCUGAGGGAGAAAGUCGGGGAUCUUCGGACCUCACGCUAUCAGAUGAGCCUAGGUCGGAUUAGCUAGUUGGUGGGGUAAAGGCCUACCAAGGCGACGAUCCGUAACUGGUCUGAGAGGAUGAUCAGUCACACUGGAACUGAGACACGGUCCAGACUCCUACGGGAGGCAGCAGUGGGGAAUAUUGGACAAAAGCCUGAUCCAGCCAUGCCGCGUGUGUGAAGAAGGUCUUCGGAUUGUAAAGCACUUUAAGUUGGGAGGAAGGGCAGUAAGUUAAUACCUUGCUGUUUGACGUUACCAACAGAAUAAGCACCGGCUAACUUCGUGCCAGCAGCCGCGGUAAUACGAAGGGUGCAAGCGUUAAUCGGAAUUACUGGGCGUAAAGCGCGCGUAAGUGGUUCAGCAAGCUUGAUGUGAAAUCCCCGGGCUCAACCUGGGAACUGCAUCCAAAAGCUACUGAGCUAGAGUACGGUAGAGGUGGUAGAAUUUCCUGUGUAGCGGUGAAAUGCGUAGAUAUAGGAAGGAACACCAGUGGCGAAGGCGACCACCUGGACUGUACUGACACUGAGGUGCGAAAGCGUGGGGAGCAAACAGGAUUAGAUACCCUGGUAGUCCACGCCGUAAACGAUGUCGACUAGCCGUUGGGAUCCUUGAGAUCUUAGUGGCGCACGUAACGCGAUAAGUCGACCGCCUGGGGAGUACGGCCGCAAGGUUAAA
rnacentral:rRNA from 1 species